CGAACGCUGGCGGCGUGCUUAACACAUGGAAGUCGAACGGAAAGGCCCUGCUUUUGUGGGGUGCUCGAGUGGCGAACGGGUGAGUAACACGUGAGUAACCUGCCCUUGACUUUGGGAUAACUUCAGGAAACUGGGGCUAAUACCGGAUAGGAGCUCCUGCUGCAUGGUGGGGGUUGGAAAGUUUCGGCGGUUGGGGAUGGACUCGCGGCUUAUCAGCUUGUUGGUGGGGUAGUGGCUUACCAAGGCUUUGACGGGUAGCCGGCCUGAGAGGGUGACCGGCCACAUUGGGACUGAGAUACGGCCCAGACUCCUACGGGAGGCAGCAGUGGGGAAUAUUGCACAAUGGGCGGAAGCCUGAUGCAGCAACGCCGCGUGCGGGAUGACGGCCUUCGGGUUGUAAACCGCUUUCGCCUGUGACGAAGCGUGAGUGACGGUAAUGGGUAAAGAAGCACCGGCUAACUACGUG
rnacentral:rRNA from 1 species